UUUUCAACGGUGGAUGUCUUGGUUCCUACAACGAUGAAGAACGCAGCGAAGUGCGAUAAGCAAUGCGAAUUGCAGAACCGUGAGUCAUCAGAUUUUUGAACGCAACUGGCACCGGCUGGUUUUCCAGACGGUAAGCUUGUUUCAGUGUC
rnacentral:rRNA from 1 species